CUUGCUUUUUUGUUUAUGAAAACUCUGGGAAGACUAUGAAGAUCGUGAGGAAAGAAUAUCUCCGCAUAGAAAUCCAAAAAGCCCCAUAAGCGAAGCAUUUCCAAAUUUCUGAGUAUACGAGCACAAGCAUUGCAGGUGAUCCUGAACCAUGUGGCAAAACCUGUUUGCGAUGUCUACAUUAAACUCCUCAAAACAACGCCCGUAUUGUAGGAUUCUCACAGAACAACUUGAAAUAACCAAGAAGUAUGGCAGACUUCCAUAACGAGUGGAGAUAUAGAGCUCAUGGUUCAGAUUGAUGCCUUGCAUUGGUCCUUCGGAAACCCUGAAAUAAAAUUAGAAAAGGAAUCUUGUGACUUAUUGCUCUUUUCUUAAUUUAUUCAUAUUUGUCCAGCCAAUCAAAGUGGUAACAAGUUAGAAACCUUGAUUCUAAGUUCCAAAUGUAGAAUAUCAAAGUACCUUGAUUCUAAGCGAAGCAUUUUCAAAAUUUCAGACUAUAUGAGCACAAGCAUUGCAGGUAAUCCGGAACGAUGUGUCAAAACCUGUUAGCGACGUCUACAUUAAACUCCUGAAAACAAUGGUCGUAUUGUAGGGUCCUCACAGAACAACCUUGAUAUAACAAACAAGUAAGACAGAUUGUGCUGCCCUUCAAUAGAAUACCAAGUAUCCUUACAUAUAUGCACAUAUCUUAGAUUAGUUAAUGUAUAAAGUAUAUUCCUUUCGGACAAAGUACCUGUCGAUUGAUCUAUUAAUAAAGUUAGCAGCAUGUGCUGCCCUUCAAGAACAAAUUCCCUGGUUGAUCCUGCUGAAAUGGCCAGAAUAAGUUACUUUCAAAAUACGAGGACCUGUAAAUAAUCUUGAAUGUAACAUAGAUCUAUCAAUUAAAAGGCAAAAGAAUACCAAAGUUACAAGACUAAUCAAUUAACAAUAUACCACAGGCAAUAUGAUUCUCUUAAACGUAAAGUUGGGAUGAGAGAUUUGAAAGUGUCAAGGGCUUAAGGCUAAAUUAGUUGGAGGGAUAUGAAAUAAAAUUAGAAAAGGAAUCUUGUGACUUAUUGCUCUUUUCUUAAUUUAUUCAUAUUUGUCCAGCCAAUCAAAGUGGUAACAAGUUAGAAACCUUGAUUCUAAGUUCCAAAUGUAGAAUAUCAAAGCUCAUAAGAAUUAGAAACAAAGAGAAGAUUUCAGAGAGUUUUACCUUCACUGGUUUUCUCCAACUCCCAUUAUUUCCAUGUCAAAUGGGGAAAAAUCGUGUUUAAUCCUUUCUUCUCAUCGCUAUUGAAUGUCGAUGUCAACUCGAGCUCAACCCUUUUCCAUACCUCAUCUAGAAAAGAUGGUCCUGAUUCAAAGAUGAAGAAAUAAUGAUUUAUAAAGCGAUCUUAAUUACUUGUGCAAGUUUGACAAUCUGGACCUUUUCCUUUUGUUAUGAUUCACGCAUAUAAUCCAUCGACAAUGAUCAUGAAACAAGAAAAGAAAAGGAAACGUAAGUUACACUCCAGUAUUCAACAACUUACGAUGGAAUCUGUAAGAGUGCAGCAGCCAGCCAAAUUCACACGUUGUUUUUGUGCAGAAACAUAUCGGCACCUAUGUAAAGAUGACAGAUGCAAUGAAAGAUGAGUAAGCAUUCCACCGUAUUCAAACCACAACAGUAAGAGGAAAAAAAAAAACAUCAUCAAGGAGUUACCUCGUCCUGUGCAGGAGAAUCAUAUUGGUGUCAUAGCUAGCCAGAGCACCCAAUAACUUACUUGGAGUUACCUCGUCCUGUGCAGGAGUUACCUUGAUUGAUUCUCGUUUGAUUGCUUCAGUCCAAAUGCUAGAAAUAAAAUAAGGUGUUUAUGAGGAUUAAAGGGUGUGCAAAUAUCACUUCCCCAGAUUUAUGAUCCAACUAUUCGGAAGCUGGCCAGCUUCUCAAGAACGCUUUCUCCUCCGAAUCAGCAGUGCCAUACAGAGAGAAAUCCAAAGAAGGAAACGACUCCCAUAUAGGAGUUUUAUGCAGAAACUGGGGCAGCCUAAUACUGGCAACGUGGAUGCAAACCUACUUUCUCUUCUGAUGUCUAGAAACUUCAAUUAACCUCAGGACAUGAGCUCCAUGCUUUCUUCAAUGCUUUCACAAGGUCUAGAAGAUCUGCGUGUUUUCUUCGUUGCUUUCAGGAGUCUGGGGAACCUGCAAGUUCUCUUCAUUGUUUGCAAACCAAGUUCUGGAGGGCCUCUGGCUUCUCGCCCGUUCUUGCCUGCGAGCUAAGCAAAAAAAUUAAUGCAUCAACAACCAGUUUCCAGAAUGCAUGACCAUAAGGCUGUAUUCUAACAGCCUCACUUAUUUCCUGGCUAUAACAUAAGUCAAUAAUUUCCUUUCCGGAAUGAAAUAAACUUAAAAGUGCCACUUUUCCCAGUUUAUAUUUAAUGAACCUCCUCCUACUGUUUAGAAUUUGUACAUGAAGCGCUAUCAUGGUUCAGAGUUGUUACCAAGAAAAUUUCUAUCAUAUGACGCCUGCUCCAACCAUCCUCGACCAGAAGUGAGCUACACCGUAUCAUCAAUUUCUCCACAGCAUCUUCCUCUAGAACAGUUAAUGAAUCAAAUGGUUGCCUCCAUGAUGGACGACCCUGCAUCAUCCAGAUAAUAAUAAUACAUUAUUAUUCAACCACAAAUAAAGUAACAAUUUGUUAGUCACUCAAAAUAGAAAUAGCACGUUAGAUCUCCCCAAUUUACAGAAGGAGUGAACUUGAACUUGCCACUACAGCAUUUGAAAGUUAUAAGUAUCACAAGCAGACAAUAGCGCCUUACUAGCUCCGCUGUCGUACAUUUUGCCGGUUGACUAUUCCAACCAUCCAAUAUUCCGGCCUUCCAAUCUAUUGAUGAUCUAGUCUAUGUUGAGCAGCCUUAACAGAUGCAAGCUGAAAGCCACUGGAAAAACAGAAAGGAUCCUCACAUAUAUGCGUUUAACUUAGAUUAGUUUUAAGUAGAAACUACAUUCAUUUCGGACAAAGUACCUGUCUUCGUGCAGCCCUCGAGAACAAAUUCCCUGCUUGAUCAUGCUGAAAUGGCCAGGAACGUGUCCUUCAAACUUCUUAAAAUCUGUAGAUACAGUAAACAUGAGACCAUACAUUGCUAAGAUUAAAGGCUUGGACUGUUCGCAGACCUUAUCCAAAGUUAACUAAAUAUGUAUGUAUAUACAAUUACAUAAAUACACGCACAGACACAAAUUACACAAGGAUGCAUACAUAUAAUCGAUAAUCUAUACUUCUACUCACUCUGAAUGCAAUAUCCAUACUUACAACCUCUCAAUCGAAAUCUAACGGUUGACAUCUACAUCCUGGUAGAGAGAACGUUUCUUUUUUGGAAAAUUAUCAGUUAUUGGAUGAAGGCUGGCGAACAAAAACAUUUAUACUUCAAAAGAAUACCUAAGUUACAAGACUAAUCAAUUAACAAUAUACCACAGGCAAUAUGAUUCUCUUAAACGUAAAGUUGGGAUGAGAGAUUUGAAAGUGUCAAGGGCUUAAGGCUAAAUUAGUUGGAGGGAUAUGAAAGACUAGAUGCAAUGCAUUUAGAGGGAUUUGUAAAUGACUGCUUGAAGGGAGACAUUUAUAAAUACUUUGUUUAUGUGUGUAAUGAUCAUGUAGUGCAUUUUAAAUGUCUAUAUCCUUCAUCCAAACAUAGGGUGAGAGAACUAGGAGUUUUAGCAUACACAACUCACUGACAUAGGACAAUACAAAUUAAGGCAAAACAAACAGUGUCAAAAUCCAAAAUGCCUUACUUCUUUGAGUCAUUAUGUGUGCAUUAUGCCCUUAUCAGACUCCUUGCUUUUUUGUUUAUGAAAACUCUGGGAAGACUAUGAACAUCGUGAGGAAAGAAUAUCUCCGCAUAGAAAUCCAAAAAGCCCCAUAAGCGAAGCAUUUCCAAAUUUCUGAGUAUACGAGCACAAGCAUUGCAGGUGAUCCUGAACCAUGUGGCAAAACCUGUUUGCGACGUCUACAUUAAACUCCUAAAAACAAUGCCCGUAUUGUAGGAUUCUCACAGAACAACCUUGAAAUAACCAAGAAGUAUGGCAGACUUCCAUAACGAGCGGAGAUAUAGAGCUCAUGGUUCAGAUUGAUGCCUUGCAUUGGACCUUCGGAAACCCUGAAAUAAAAUUAGAAAAGGAAUCUUGUGACUUAUUGCUCUUUUCUUAAUUUAUUCAUAUUUGUCCAGCCAAUCAAAGUGGUAACAAGUUAGAAACCUUGAUUCUAAGUUCCAAAUGUAGAAUAUCAAAGCUCAUAAGAAUUAGAAACAAAGAGAAGAUUUCAGAGAGUUUUACCUUCACUGGUUUUCUCCAACUCCCAUUAUUUCCAUGUCAAAUGGGGAAAAAUCGUGUUUAAUCCUUUCUUCUCAUCGCUAUUGAAUGUCGAUGUCAACUCGAGCUCAACCCUUUUCCAUACCUCAUCUAGAAAAGACGGUCCUGAUUCAAAGAUGAAGAAAUAAUGAUUUAUAAAGUGAUCUUAAUUACUUGUGCAAGUUUGACAAUCUGGACCUUUUCCUUUUGUUAUGAUUCACGCAUAUAAUCCAUCGAUAAUGAUCAUGAAACAAGAAAAGAAAAGGAAACGUAAGUUACACUCCAGUAUUCAACAACUUACGAUGGAAUCUGUAAGAGUGCAGCAGCCAGCCAAAUUCACACGUUGUUUUUGUGCAGAAACAUAUCGGCACCUAUGUAAAGAUGACAGAUGCAAUGAAAGAUGAGUAAGCAUUCCACCGUAUUCAAACCACAACAGUAAGAGGAAAAAAAAACAUCAUCAAGGAGUUACCUCGUCCUGUGCAGGAGAAUCAUAUUGGUGUCAUAGCUAGCCAGAGCACCCAAUAACUUACUUGGUAUUGUACGAAGUAAUUUAUGUAAGCAAACACUUGUUGCUAUUGGAUGAUAUUGUCCUGAAAUUUAAUUGAUUGAUUAAUUAAACACAGUAUAGCUGACAGUAAACAAUUGAAGUGAAACUUUUACAGAAUCUGAAUCUCGUGUGUACGUACCUGACAUUGACUUGAGAUCUCAAUUGAUGAUGACUUGCUUGCCUAUCUUGAUGCAAGGAAUGUGAGCUAUCUUGCUCCACUCUUCUCCCGUCUUCUCCUGACACCUCUUCAUCAGAGAAGGACAGUUGUAGAUGCGCAAACAAGAGAGCGAUGCCAGCAAAUCCUCUUUUGGCAGGAAUUUGAGACUAUCACACUCGUAAAUUUGGAGCUCUUGAAGAGAAGUGAGGUGUUGAAUUCCCUUUCCCUCCAAAGAUUUCAGACUCGUAAAUUUGGAUGAUAGCGUCCUGAAAUUUAAACAAGUAUGUUUUUUAAUGGUGGUAUAGUUGAGUUAAACAGUUGAAAAGUUAAAACUGAUUGAUUAAUUAAACACUAUAUAUAGAUGACAGCAAACAAUUGAAGUGAAACUUUUACAUGAUCUGAAUCUUGUAUGUUAUUCUAUGAAAAAUGGUGCUAUGUACGUACCUGACUUUGAGUUGAGAUCUCAAAUGAUGACUUGGUCGCCUAUCUCGAUGCAAGGAAUGUGAGCUAUCUUGCUCCACUCUUCUCCUGUCUUCUCCUCACACCCGUAAUACAUGUGUUACACGCGAGAUAUUGACAAAACCCUCAUUAAUUAUUUCCUCACUAACAAGGCGAUAAUUUUGCCAGGAUCAUACAUCCAAGAAUAUGACAACCUGAGUACAAACGAUUUGAUUAUUUUUGCAUCCCAAAUACCACAUAUCCUAUGAUUUCAUCCAAAAACAGUUCAGAAUAUUCAUCUAAAGAACUUAGUUAUGAACAGAGGAGAUCCACAUGAUUUUACGAUGAAGUACAAUUUGACAAAAUAAUUCAUGAUUUACAUAAGAGUAAACGUGUUACCAGUACCACUGCAGCACUUGAAAGUUAAAGUAUCACAAGCAGAUAAUAGGGGCCUUACUAGCUCCGCUUUUUUCCAUGUGCCGGUUGACUCUUCCAACCAUCCAAUAUUCCGGCCUUCCAAUCCAUUGAUGAUGUGGUCGAAUCAACUAGUAUAUAAAAGUAUGGCAUUAAAUAUGAAAAUGCAGAAUGUGGCAGGGCUUAUAUCUCUGGUUUUAUUAAUCUUGUUAUAUACAGGUAGAAAACACUGGAUAUCUGGCAAAACAUUUCCAGGAUGAAGUUCACAUAAAGUCCGUUUUUUCCCAGUUUGCAUGAAAUUCCUACUAAGUAGGUUUGUUCUGCUAUAAGCAAUAAUGUACAUGAUCACACAACUGAGGUUCAGAGUUGUUACCAAGAAAAUUUCUAACAUACGACGGCCUACUCCAACCAUCCUCUAUCAAAAUUAGGUUAAGGCGUAUCAUCAAUUUCUCUGUGGCAUCUUCCACCAAAACAGCUAAUCAAUCAGACAGUCGCCUCCGUAGGGGACGAUCCUGAAGAAUCCAAAUAAAGGUACUUUAUUAGAUUUGGUAUCAAAGUCGGAUGUCAUCUUACAUAUAGAAAUUAGGAAACUUACCUUUUUGUCCUGCUACAACUUUAGAUAUUCAAGUGAUUGCUAAUAAAGUCCACAAUGGUAGAAAAGAAUGAUGUAAUGUCUUAAUUCCUUCGGAUCAGCUUCUGGGAGAAUAAGAUGUUCACAAGCUGUGACAAAGAAGCCUUAGCAGAUGCAAGCUGAACGCCAGUGGAAAAAUACCAAGUAUCCUUAUAUAUGUGCACUUAAGUUGGAUUAGUUUUAAGUAGAAACUACAUUCACUUCGGACAAAGUACCAGUCUUCUUUAUACUUGAUCUAUCAAUAAAGUUAGCAGCACGUGCUGCCUUCAAGAACAAAUUCCCUGGUUGAUCAUGCUGAAAUGGGCCAGAAUGCGCCCUUCAAAUUUUUUUAGAUCUGUACAAACAGUAGACUAUGAGACCAGAUGUAGCUUAAGGUUAAAGCCUUGUACACGUCCGAAGAUCAAUUAUGCAUGUAAAUAAAAUUAUAUAAAGACAAUGUCACACACAAACAAAUGUACACAAAGAUAUAUUUAAUCUUUACCUUGACUCACUUUGAGCACAAAACCCAUGCUUACAACUGCUCAAUUGAAAUCUCAUGGUUGACAUCCUAGCGCAGAGACCUUUAUAAAUACUUUGCUUAUGUUGUAAUGAUCAUGUAGUUCAUUUCAAAUAUCUAUAUCUAAGGUUUUGUAGUUGAUUUCUAACUAAUUUAUCCUAAAUUCUUUAAUACUUUCAAAUCCCUCAUCCAAACGCAGGGUGAGAGAAGUAGGAGUUUUAGCAUACACAACUCAUUGACAUAGGACAAUGCAAAUCAAGGCGAAAAAAAACAGAUCUGUCGACAUGAUAACACAAGUCACCUCACCUCCACUAAAACGGCUUGCGAAGUCAUUAUGUGUGCAUUAUCAGAUUACUUGCUUUUAACCUCUGGGAAGACUAUGAAGAUCAUGACGAAGCAUUUUCAAAAUUUGAGUAUAUGAGCACAAGCAUUGCAGGUGAUCCUGAGCGAUGUGUCAGAACCAGUUUGCAACGUCUACAUUAAACUCCUGAAAACAAUGCCCAUAUUGUAGGGUUCUCACAGAACAACCUUGAGACAACAAACAAGUAAGGCAGACUUCCGUACUGAGUGGAGAGAUAGAGCUCAUGGUUCAGAGUGAUGCCUUGCAUUGGUCCUUCAGAAACCCUGAAAUAAAAUUAAAAAAGGAACCUUGUGACUUAUUGCUCUUUUCUUAAUUUAUUCAUAUUUGUCCAGCCAAUCAAAGUGGUAACAAGUUAGAAACCUUGAUUCUAAGUUCCAAAUGUAGAAUAUCAAAGCUCAUAAGAAUUAGAAACAAAGAGAAGAUUUCAGAGAGUUUUACCUUCACUGGUUUUCUCCAACUCCCAUUAUUUCCAUGUCAAAUGGGGAAAAAUCGUGUUUAAUCCUUUCUUCUCAUCGCUAUUGAAUGUCAAUGUCAACUCGAGCUCAACCCUUUUCCAUACCUCACCUAGAGAAGACGGUCCUGAUUCAAAGAAGAAGAAAUAAUGAUUUAUAAAGUGAUCUUAAUUACUUGUGCAAGUUUGACAAUCUGGACCUUUUCCUUUUGUUAUGAUUCACGCAUAUAAUCCAUUGAUAAUGAUCAUGAAACAAGAAAAGAAAAGGAAACGUAAGUUACACUCCAGUAUUCAACGACUUACGAUGGAAUCUGUAAAAGUGCAGCAGCCAGCCAAAUUCACACGUUGUUUUUGUGCAGAAACAUAUCGGCACCUAUGUAAAGAUGACAGAUGCAAUGAAAGAUGAGUAAGCAUUCCACCGUAUUCAAACCACAACAGUAAGAGGGAAAAAAAACAUCAUCAAGGAGUUACACAACUCACUGACAUAGGACAAUACAAAUUAAGGCAAAACAAACAGUGUCAAAAUCCAAAAUGCCUUACUUCUUUGAGUCAUUAUGUUUGCAUUAUGCCCUUAUCAGACUCCUUGCUUUUUUGUUUAUGAAAACUCUGGGAAGACUAUGAAGAUCGUGAUUCGUGAGGAAAGAAUAUCUCUGCAUAGAAAUCCAAAAGGCCCCAUAAGCGAAGCAUUUCCAAAUUUCUGAGUAUACGAGCACAAGCAUUGCAGGUGAUCCUGAACCAUGUGGCAAAACCUGUUUGCGACGUCUACAUUAAACUCCUAAAAACAAUGCCCGUAUUGUAGGAUUCUCACAGAACAACCUUGAAAUAACCAAGAAGUAUGGCAGACUUCCAUCAUGAGCGGAGAUAUAGAGCUCAUGGUUCAGAUUGAUGCCUUGCAUUGGUCCUUCGGAAACCCU
rnacentral:lncRNA from 1 species